rnacentral:rRNA from 1 species
GACGAACGCUGGCGGCGUGCUUAACACAUGCAAGUCGAACGAUGAAGCUAGAGCUUGCUCUGGUGGAUUAGUGGCGAACGGGUGAGUAACACGUGAGUAACCUGCCCCGAACUCCGGGAUAACUGCUGGAAACGGUAGCUAAUACCGGAUAUGACCAAUGAAGGCAUCUUCUGUUGGUGGAAAGAAUUUCGGUUCGGGAUGGACUCGCGGCCUAUCAGCUUGUUGGUGAGGUAACGGCUCACCAAGGCGACGACGGGUAGCCGGCCUGAGAGGGUGAUCGGCCACACUGGGACUGAGACACGGCCCAGACUCCUACGGGAGGCAGCAGUGGGGAAUAUUGCACAAUGGGCGCAAGCCUGAUGCAGCAACGCCGCGUGAGGGACGACGGCCUUCGGGUUGUAAACCUCUUUUAGUAGGGAAGAAGCGAAAGUGACGGUACCUGCAGAAAAAGCACCGGCUAACUACGUGCCAGCCGCCGUAAGAC